GGUCUGCGCGCCCCAGCUCCCCGGAAGACCGCAGGUUCCUUCCCGAACCUUCAAGGGCAUCCGCCCCACCUCCGACCCCCGCCCGGCUCGGCCCGGCUCACCCAGGCGGGUAUCUCUCUGUCUUUCUGGCUUUUUCCUUCCACUUUCCUGGAUAAAAUUACUGGCUGUGAUGAGUUUUUUCAGCAACACGUGUGUUCCUAGUGGUCAUAAUAGCUGGACCCUCCUCUGUUGUUCUUGGUCUUCCAGGACUGGCCAAAGCAGAAGCUGAAACCUCCCAGCUUAACAUUCUGUUACACUACAUUUCCCAGGGUAACCUAGGAAGUCAAUGUAGGAAAUGCAUCUCACUUGCGUUCCUUUUUGGAGAGUUCCUUUUUGAAUGUACCUAAUCCUAUUAAAGGCUCUGAGAAGCCCUGCAGAUAAAAAGCUAUUAUAUUUGAUUUAACCCACUGUUUCCCAAAUUAUUUGACCACAGAACUCCAUUCUCAAAACACUCCUCUAGUGGUUGACCCAGGUCAACUUGAGCUAAAGGAAUGAGAAAGUAUGAUAGGGAUUCUAGGGAAGGCCCCUGGAACCUGAGGCAGGAAUGCAGCUGACUCCCAUGAUGGAUGGACCCGGAAGUUAACUGGCUGGACUCGGCUCAGCAACCCUGCUGCUCUCCUCGCUGACCUGCCUCCUUUGCCUUUGGCUGAAGUAGAGAACACAGCAUCUUCCUCACAGCUUCCAGGGUCACAGAGCUUCACAGAGAGACUGCUUGACCCUUAUCCUUCCCAAUUCCAAAUGCCUUGGAGAGAGGACCCAACUGUAUCUAUUAUCCCCUUCCCUCUUAACACACACCAGGUCUACACCACAGCCCCCUCCUGGGUUAGUGUGUUUGGGGAGGAUUACCAGAGAAGGAAGGUUGUUGAUUUGGGAGCUGAUGUCCAGAAUGAGACCUGGAACACCUGGCGGGACGUGGUUACCCCAUCUGCACUGCCUUCUCUGCUCCUUGAACACACCAAGCUCAUUUAUGCCUCAAGAUUUGUGUACUUGCUGUUCCCUCUAACCGGAAUGAUCCCCACAUAAAUUUCCUCUAAGGUACAUUAGGGAAGUGGGAUUAUGGUUGAUUUUCUUUUCUCUCUUUUCCAAAUUUAUUUAUAAUGUCAUUACGUUACUCUCAUAAAUUAAAUAUAUAACAUUGAGAAUAUGGCAUCUAAAACUCGAUAUCCCACCUGAGGUCAAAUCUGUGCCUAGAACAUUGGAGCCAUUAUUUUCCUUGACCUGGACAUGCUACUUUGGUUACUACAGCCAGCAAAAGACAUUUUAUGUUCUGUUUGAUCAUAGCAAAACCUGGGGGAAAUGAUGACUUCCAGACCCUUUGCCUGAACCCAUUUGAGAAUUCAUCAUAUUAUACCACUUUUCCAGAGAACGCUAGCUCAUUUGUUCAGUAUAUUUACUGGCUGUUAUUGUGGGUUGAAUUGUGUCCCCCCACCAAAAAAAAUAUGUUGAAGUCCUAACCCCUGGUACCUGUGAAUGGGAUCUUAUUUGGAAAUAGAGUCUUGGUAGAUGUAAUCAAGUUAAGAUGCGAUCAUUCUGGCUUAGGGUGGGUCCUAAAUCCAACGACUGGUGUCCUGAUCAAGAGAGAGAUUUGGAAACAGAGACACAGAGGAGAUAUACAAAGGGAGGAAGGCCAUGUGAAGAAAGAUGCAGAAACUGGAGUGAUGCAGUACAAAACCAAGGGCCAAAGAUCGCUGGCAACCACCAGAGCUAGGAAGAGACAAGGAAGGAUUCUUCCCGAGAGCCUUCGGAGAGAGCUUGGUCGUGCCAACACGUUGAUUUCGGACUGCUAGUCUCCAGGACAGUGAAAGAAUAAAUUUCUGUUGUUUUAAGCCACCCAGUUUGUGGUACUUUGAUAUGGCAGCCCUUGGAAACUAAUACAGCCACUGACUAAGAGCCAGGCACUGUUCUAGCCACAGGAGAUUCAGUGUAAACAGAAUGGACAAGAUCCCUGCUCUCACAGAGCUGCCAUUCUAGUGGGGAACACAGACAACAAACAAGUGAAUAAAGAACAGAAAAUAGCAGGCCUAGAUCCUCCAAUCUGGUGUUUAAUUCCACCUUCAUCUUUGGCUCUUUCAUUCACUCAUUCAGUAAGUAUUCACUGAGGGUCUUCUAUGUGCCAGACAUUGUAUAGAACACAAGAGAUAAAGCAAUGAAUAAA